rnacentral:rRNA from 1 species
AUCAGAAGGUACAGAAUUGUGAUCUCAUGCAACCAGUGUUUAUUUAUAUAUUAAUCAAAAAAAAAGAACAACUUGCUUGUGUGCUUAUAUUAGGUUAUACUACGUAAGUAUUCAUGCAUGUAUAUCUUUUUUAGUGCGAAGCAGUAAUUUCUAAUAUUAAUAAAAAUAUACUUUUUGUGGACAUUGGGGGGUCGUGAAGACUCUAUCAGUGAGUAUUUGUUCUCGGAAGGACUAGAUAUGUAUAUUGAAUAAUCGGACAUAGUACGAUAAGGUUGUAUGUCUAAAGGGAAAUAGCCCAGAACAAGAGUUAAUAAGGUUCCAAAAUUUUUGUUAAGUGAAAUUAAGGCAGUAUUUAUCCCAAUCGGCCAGGGAAUAGGCUUAGAAGCGGCCAUUUUUUGAAGAUCUCGUAACAGAGCACUGGUUUUAUAUUUUAUGGAUAAAAGCACCGAAAAUUUAACGGAUCUAAACAAAAUACCGAUACCUUGUCCAUAUAUAUUAAUGUGUAUAUUAUGUAUUGUAUAUAUGGGGUAGCGGAACAUUGGGUGUGAAACAGCCAUUUUUAAUCCUUUAUAAGGAUUAAAUUGCCUAGAGUUUUUAUUAAUCUCUAGACUAAAUAAGCCCAAGUGAUAAUGCUGACAUGAGUAACGAUAAAGGAUCAUUAAGACAUAAAAUCUUAGAGAAUCCUCGCCUAAAGCUUAUGGAAUUUAUUAAAGUUACGGCCUCUAAGUUUAUUUUUUUCAUAGCUUCAGAUUAUUUAUAUAUAGUACAUAUUUAAGAUCUACAUCUAAAUAGUCGAGAGUUAUGGCAAAUUACCUAAUGGUAUAGACGAUGAGAAAACCUAGAGUUUACAGUAAUUAACGUUUUUUGUUUACGUAGUAACAGUAACUCCGCUUAUCCCUUUAAUUGUUAUUUUAAAAAUGUAUUUUUUAAAGGAAAAGCGGAAGAUCUUUACUAAUAUUUUUAAGUAAAUUAAGUGAAAAAUGUUCUGGAAAACUGUAAGCUCCGUAAGUAAUAUAAAAAAAGUAAAA